rnacentral:lncRNA from 10 species
GGCACUGCUCUCAUUUUCCAAUGGAUUUAGGAAGAAAAUGGCUAAAGUGGAAGGGAUGGAGGUUAUACCUGGGGUCAGCAACAUGAACUUUCACUCACCAAGGCUGACAUGGCUACAGUCACUGCAGAGUGUCCCAUCUGUCAGCAGCACAGAACAACACUGAGCUCCCAAUAUGGCACCAUUUACUGAAGUGAUUAGCCAAGUACCCACUGGUACUGUGGAGGACGAGAAUGAAGUAACAAAAAUGGUCUCAGCCCACAGACUCCGGAAGUUUCUUCCUAAAUGCUGUUUUCAUUCUUUGAAGAUCAAAGAAAGGACCUGGAAACAUCCUUUCAGCACCUCUAAAGGAGCUCUGCUCAAUUCAGGAAGAUUGCCAGGAAGAAUGAUUUAUGAGAUGGAGAUGGAGAAAAGAAAAAUGAAAUACAAAAGGAGAUGACAAGACCUGGAACAGACCCAGAGAUAAAAGUAAUGUUUUCAGGAUGGAAAAACCAACCUGUCAACUAUGAACUACUCACCUAUGGACCAGUAUAUGAGGAAG